GUGGGGAAUCUUCCGCAAUGGACGAAAGUCUGACGGAGCGACGCCGCGUGAGUGAAGAAGGCCUUCGGGUCGUAAAGCUCUGUCAUCAGGGACGAACGGCCGGUGGAGUGGAAAGCCACCGGAUUGACGGUACCUGAGAAGGAAGCCACGGCUAACUACGUGCCAGCAGCCGCGGUAAUACGUAGGUGGCAAGCGUUGUCCGGAAUUAUUGGGCGUAAAGCGCGCGCAGGUGGGAUCUUAAGUCCAUUUUUAAAGUUCGGAGCUCAACUCCGUGAUGGGAUGGAAACUGGGAUUCUUGAGUACCGGAGAGGAAAGCGGAAUUCCCCGUGUAGCGGUGAAAUGCGUAGAUAUCGAGAGGAACACCAGUGGCGAAGGCGGCUUCCUGGCACAAUACUGACGCUCAUGUGCGAAAGCUAGGGCAGCGAACGGGAUUAGAAACCCCUGUAGUCC
rnacentral:rRNA from 1 species